rnacentral:rRNA from 1 species
GUAGGGCGCAAGCGUUAUCCGGAAUUAUUGGGCGUAAAGAGCUCGUAGGCGGUUUGUCGCGUCUGCUGUGAAAACCCGAGGCUCAACCUCGGGCCUGCAGUGGGUACGGGCAGACUAGAGUGCGGUAGGGGAGAUUGGAAUUCCUGGUGUAGCGGUGGAAUGCGCAGAUAUCAGGAGGAACACCGAUGGCGAAGGCAGAUCUCUGGGCCGUAACUGACGCUGAGGAGCGAAAGGGUGGGGAGCAAACAGGCUUAGAUACCCUGGUAGUCCACCCCGUAAACGUUGGGAACUAGUUGUGGGGUCCAUUCCACGGAUUCCGUGACGCAGGUAACGCAUUAAGUUCCCCGCCUGGGGAGUACGGCCGCAAGCUA